rnacentral:rRNA from 1 species
CAGAUUGAACGCUGGCGGAAUGCUUACACAUGCAAGUCGAGCGGCAGCGCGGGGCAACCUGGCGGCGAGCGGCGAACGGGUGAGUAACACAUCGGAACGUACCCUGUUGUGGGGGAUAGCCCGGCGAAAGCCGGAUUAAUACCGCAUAAGACCUGAGGGUGAAAGCGGGGGACCGCAAGGCCUCGCGCGACAGGAGCGGCCGAUGGCGGAUUAGCUAGUUGGUGGGGUAAAGGCUCACCAAGGCGACGAUCCGUAGCUGGUCUGAGAGGAUGAUCAGCCACACUGGAACUGAGACACGGUCCAGACUCCUACGGGAGGCAGCAGUGGGGAAUUUUGGACAAUGGGGGCAACCCUGAUCCAGCCAUUCCGCGUGAGUGAAGAAGGCCUUCGGGUUGUAAAGCUCUUUCGGCAGGAACGAAACGGUGGGCUCUAACAUAGUCUGCUAAUGACGGUACCUGAAGAAGAAGCACCGGCUAACUACGUGCCAGCAGCCGCGGUAAUACGUAGGGUGCGAGCGUUAAUCGGAAUUACUGGGCGUACAGCGUGCGCAGGCGGUUUCGUAAGACAGAUGUGAACUCCCCGGGCUUAACC